rnacentral:misc_RNA from 1 species
AAGUCGUAACAAGAUAGGUGAACCUGCGGAAGGAUCAUUAGCACAUAUCCAAACGUUAAAACAACCCUGUGAAUAUUAAAUCUCUGUUCCCCCAAAACAGAAAAAUGGGCUUCCUCUUUUAAAUCAUUGACUUACCAAGAUUUUGAGUUAGAGGAUGGCGCACGAGUAGCACCUGUAUUCAUCAAUCUGAAAGUGUUUGGUGAAUUGUGCAAGGACAGCGCAGUCAACGAUCGGUGGUCCACACGGCCACCGACUGGGGGUCGUUACUCCCUCGUGGGGCCUAGUUCAUUCAGGUCAUGAUGCAUGUCUUCCGCGCCCGACGAAAGUCCGACGCACCCCUAAUCGAACAACUGUUAACAAUGGAUCUUGGUUCUC